UUACAGAGCAGCACACCGGGCAGAUUGAGCACUUCUGAGAAUCUUUCUCCUGAUCAUUCCUUUUGGGUUGUUUUUCUUUAAGCUCAGAAAACCAAAAGAAGGUGAAACCAAAAAUGAAAUAAUUAAGGUUCAGAAUAAAGGGGGUUACUUAAGGGAAAGAACUAGUUACAAAAUCAGCCUCAGUAAGAUCUUUUCAUCCUUUUUUAUUUUUAUUUUUUCCUUGUUUCUUAGGUGUUGAUGCUCACUGGUACCUAUAAGAAUUUUUUUUGUCAUUGUCAUUUUUUAUGAGGUUCCAGUAUGCUUUGUAUGGAGAUAAAUGAGAUGAUACUGGUCUCGUUAUUAAGGCGUACCAUAGCUAAGCUGAGUUCUAUAAACAUUUGUGUAAACAUUCUCAAAAUUUAGAAGGAUAUGGAGUUCUAAAGUGGACAUUUGCUUAAGUCAUUUAUGGUUAUGUUGUGGUUUGGACAUGAUCCACGCACACUUGGUGUCCAAAUAGUCAUGUCCAAAUAACUCAGGAUUCCCUGCUGCGUCGGAUUCUUUCAUUCCUGUGUGAUUUCUCUUUUUCAGAUCUCAUCCAGAUUUACUUUAAUCAAUAACCAUAAAACAUCAGGCAAAAUGAAAUCCAGCAAGUUGUAUGCUUAACAUGACUUCACUGUAGCUGUGUUCAUGCAAUGUUUAGAUUAAAUGUGGAUGCAUAGCUUUUCUACCGUAUGACUCAGCUGAAUUUUGAAGGAUAGGUUGCUACACAGUUAGGAAUAGGAAUGGAAAGGUCAGGGAUUACAGCUGGAAUGGAGAAGCUUGUGAGAGAAGUCAGGCAUCUGGUCAGGGAUAGCGAAAGACUGAAGGUCAUGGCUAGGCCUCGUGGUUCAUACACCCUCCUUUUUCCUUUGUACUGACAGGGAUAGCAACUGUAGGCGAGACUUUGUGGGCCGCCAGAAGAAACAAUGUUGACCGUAGUUGUGGCACAUUUGUAGAUCUAUUUUGGAAUCGGUGUUGCUUUAGGCUGCAGCCCACCUACUUGGAGCUCUUUCCUGAGAUGCAAGCUUUCACUGGCUUUGCCAAAAUGCAUCCAGUGUACAGUGUAGUCUUCUAUUGCAGGCUCUACUUUGUGGUGUAAUUGUUAUGUGUCCAGAAGACCCACUUAUAUUUUUAGAGGAAAAGCUCAGAGAAAUAAUGGAAAAGGGAAUAGAUGCUGUUUUAUGGUUCUUUGUACGAGGUGGAUCCUUACUCAUUAGGCCCACCUAUGAAGGGAUCUCAGGCAUUGCCUGAAGCCCAGCCAUUCUGAGUGCUUUCGGACUGACUUUGGUACCUUAUGAUCACAGAUGAAGUCACUGCAGUGAGUGAUGCAGAUUUGUGCCCUUACUGUGUCCUUUCCACAGCAUAUCAGAAUUCCUCAUAUCACAGGGUAUCUGUACUGAUUCAUCUUUUACACCCAAAAUUAAAGAGGAUUUCAGAAACUCACCUGGACACACUUUUUGGAUUAGAUGCACAACUGUACAGAACUGUUUUGUGUACUACUGCCAUAAAUGAAUUCUUUAGAUGACUGAAGAAUUAUGUACCAAAGCAUGGAACUUUUAAAGCAGAAACUUAAUGAAUUUUGGGUAAGUAUUGCUUUUUACAUAUGAGUCAGGAACAUCUUAUGAAACAUCUUUUAUCAAAAGUGUGCCUAUGUAAUUCCUUUGGGCGAGAAAAUGGUUUUCAUUUUAAUGGAACAAAAUAAAGAGAGCUCAGACUUGAAUUUGGUUUCACUUUUCUUCAGCAAUGUUAUUUUAUGUUAACGCUAGUAAAUGUCAUUUCAGACAGGAUCAAAGUCCACUGACACUUCUGUAUUUUGAUCAACUGUCUUUGUUAGGGAUAUGUUAAUGCACCCAAGAAUAAAAGUAUCGUUUGAGUUUUGAUCUGACCAUAAUAUAUCUGGGUUCUCUUCUGCUCUUUAUUCAGUUUCCUUUGUGCUUGGUGGUAGGUAAUUUAUGCUUUUGGUAAUCCCUCUUUUCCUCUCAAAGAAUGAGGAUGGUACAUAGGUAUCUUUUAAAAUACAGUAAUCACAAAUAAAGAUAUUCAUUAGUUUCUUUGUUAUAGACAUGUGUAUCAAAAUUUAAUGAUCCUUCAUUUAGAAUAGAUUAGAUCAGAGAUUUAACAAUGCCAUUUUAUUUUGGAAUCAUAGACUGCUAAUUAUAUCUGAUGUACAGCUCUGGAAGCACUAGUGUAAAUUCUGACAAGGGGUGACAGCAUCAUAAGAUUGGUAGGGAGGUCAACAUUUUACAAGCUGUAUCUGGAUUAGGCUUGGUGAGUAUUUUUCUGGGCUGAUUUUAGUGAUCUUAAAGAUCACAAGUGUUGGAGACAUGACAGUCUCUGCUGGCAGUUUAUUUCAGGACUUCAUAAUCCCUUCUACUGGAAAUAUUUCCUCAUAACUAAAUUUUCCUUGCUGCAAGGAAAUUUUUGUCUUAUACACCAGGGACAUGGACAGUUAUUCCUUUUUCAUUUAUGACAGCAUUUUGAAGAUUGUCUGAGCUAACAGUUAUUUUUAAUUAUAGAAGUUGGACAGGAGCAAUAGAACGUUCCAUUCAUUAAUGCAUCCAUUAUAUAUUUUAACUGCAAAAUGAGAGAGCUUUUUGCAAAUGGAAGUGAUCUGAUAAGAUCUAAUUUAUUCAAUAGCCCUUUCAGAAAAUCAGAUGAGGAGAAAUGCUACAUUUUAAUGUAUCAGCGACAUUAAAUGUAAUCACAUCUUGUUACUUCACAUGGAACAGAAAUGAGAUUUUUAGCAAAGUUCAAAAUUGGUAAUAACGAAAAAUAACCCUUUUAGUUGCCAAUUCGGAGGAACACUUAAGCAAAAGCUUGCAUUUAUAAGUUUAUUUGUAUAAAUACUCAAGAAUCCUUUCUUAAAUAUGGACCAAACAUUAAAGAACAGGGGCUGACAGCAUUCUAUAUGAUGGUGAAAACAAGCAGGAUUUUAUUGUGUGAUAAUGUAGAAAUUAAGAAAAAAACAAUUUAUUAAAAUGAAUAACCAAUACAUAUUUUAUUUAAAUUAAAUAAAAAAACAGCUUUUAUAUUCAGAAAUUUAUAUCGAUGAGCUUGACUGCUUUGUGUUUCCAAGUAAACUGCAGUUUUAUAGAUUUUACUGCAUUCAAGUUGAGUUAGCCAUGUUAAAUUAUUCAUUCUGUUUCA